rnacentral:rRNA from 1 species
GAUGAACGCUGGCGGCGUGCCUAAUACAUGCAAGUCGAGCGAAUGGAUUAAGAGCUUGCUCUUAUGAAGUUAGCGGCGGACGGGUGAGUAACACGUGGGUAACCUGCCCAUAAGACUGGGAUAACUCCGGGAAACCGGGGCUAAUACCGGAUAACAUUUUGAACCGCAUGGUUCGAAAUUGAAAGGCGGCUUCGGCUGUCACUUAUGGAUGGACCCGCGUCGCAUUAGCUAGUUGGUGAGGUAACGGCUCACCAAGGCAACGAUGCGUAGCCGACCUGGGAGGGUGAUCGGCCACACUGGGACUGAGACACGGCCCAGACUCCUACGGGAGGCAGCAGUAGGGAAUCUUCCGCAAUGGACGAAAGUCUGACGGAGCAACGCCGCGUGAGUGAGGAAGGCUUUCGGGUCGUAAAACUCUGUUGUUAGGGAAGAGCAAGUGCUAGUUGAAUAAGCUGGCACCUUGACGGUACCUAACCAGAAAGCCACGGCUAACUACGUGCCAGCCGCCGCCGUAA